rnacentral:rRNA from 1 species
UGGGGAAUAUUGCGCAAUGGGCGAAAGCCUGACGCAGCGACGCCGCGUGGGUGAUGAAGGCCUUCGGGUCGUAAAGCCCUGUCGGGAGGGACGAAACCUCGGUGACCUAAUACGUCACCGACCUGACGGUACCUCUUAAGGAAGCACCGGCUAACUCCGUGCCAGCAGCCGCGGUAAUACGGAGGGUGCGAGCGUUACUCGGAAUUACUGGGCGUAAAGCGUGCGUAGGUGGUUGUUUAAGUCUGAUGUGAAAGCCCUGGGCUCAACCUGGGAAUGGCAUUGGAAACUGGGCAGCUAGAGUGCGGUAGAGNGUAGUGGAAUUCCCGGUGUAGCAGUGAAAUGCGUAGAGAUCGGGAGGAACAUCUGUGGCGAAGGCGACUGCCUGGACCAGCACUGACACUGAGGCACGAAAGCGUGGGGAGCAAACA